AAAUAAUAUGCAUUUCCUAUAAAAGCUCACACUUCUAAGGAGUUUGAAGCACUGUGCAAGGGCUACACAGCAACGGAGGAUAACACGCUAAACGCUGUAAACGUCGGAAACUUUACCCAAAGAAAAGAUGGCAAGAAAGAGAACUACGAAUGGAAGCCUUGCUUGUGUCGUGAUUUUGUUAAUUCUUAUCGAACACACCUUAUGCUCCGACGUGCGCAAUAGUUUUACAGAAGCCGCAAAGAGAAACGAAACCCCGUCACUGAUUAGGCUUUUACAAGACGUUUUACUAGAACACACUGAAGCCCAAAUGCAGUACCUUCAGAGACGUCUGCAAGAAGAUCUGGAGACUAUAGAAAGUGUAGUCAACCAACCAAAUCGCAGCAAAAAGUAAGUAGUGGAGAAUAACUGCUC